rnacentral:lncRNA from 1 species
UUUGGCGUCAAUCCUCUAUUGGCCUGAUAGAGACGUGAGCAACAUGAAAAGUGCAAGGUAGAAAGAAUGGUGUGAAGAUAUGAUUAUCCUAAUCAAAUCUUCAAGUGGGAGAUUUUGGUUGAUUAAUGCCAAGUAAAAAGUUGGUUGCAUUGAAAGCCACCAAAUUAGGCUAGUAGUUGCAAGUUGGAAACUUAUUAAAGAGAUAAUUGUUGUUUUAGUCUCUUACAUUAAUGGGUUAUUUAUAGUUUGGUCCCUGAAGCUCAACUAUUAAUAGCCUAACCAUUUUAGCAUUUAAGAUCAUCCCAAAAUCAGAGAAGUUAGAGAGUGUUGUUUCUCCUUUUAUCAAAAGAGAACUUUCAUUAUUUUCUCCUUAUUAAAGUGAGAUAAGUUGUAAUUCCUAAUUUUCUCAUAGUGAAAUUCUUUCUAUCCUUGCCCAUGGUGUUUUUCACCUAUAUUAAUUAGGGGGUUUUCCACGUAAAAUCUCUGUCUUCUUUGUUCUCGCUGUUAUUCUUUCACAAUUUCCCUCUACUCGACGACUGUAUUCGCAACAAAUGGUAUCAGACCAGGUUUGGAUGUGUAUAUCUACUUAUUACAUUCUCUGCGGUUGCCACUAAAAGGUGGAUCCUCCACAACAGAAAGUUAGAUUAUUACUUGCUCACCAAAGGUGUUGGGCAGUAUUUACAUAAAAUAGUGAAAUAGUGGGAGCUAUUUGUUAUAGAAGCAAUGGAAACAAAAUUUGAGAUUGAAAGUUAGAGAGUUUUAGAGAAUGUUGUUUCCAAUGCUUCUAUAAUAGAUAACUCCCACUAUUUCACUAUUUGAUGUGAAUAGUGCCCAACAAUUUCAGUGCGUAAGUAAUAAUCUAACUUAUGUUCUAUUGUGGAGUAUCCACCUGUCAGUGGCAACCACAGAGAAUAGGAUAAGUAGAUAUACACACCCAAACCUAGCUCUGAUACUAUUUGUUGCGAAUAAAACAAAAUUGCAACUCAUAAUUUGAGAGAAUAAAGAAGACACAGAUUUUACGUGAAAAACCCCUAAUUAAUAUAGGGGGAAAAAACCACGAGCAAGGAUAGAAGAAUUUCACUAUGAGAAAACUAGGAAUUACAACUUCUCUCACUUUGACAAGGAGAAAACAAUGAAAAUUCUCUCUUGAUAAAAGGAGAAACAACACUCUCUAACUUUUAUGGCUGCGGAAUGAUUUUCGGAUUGUGAUGAUCUUAAAUGCUAAAAUGGUUAGGUUAUUUAUAGUUGAACUUCAGGGAUCAAACUAUAAAUAACCCAUUAAUGUAAGAGACUAAAACAAUAAUUAUCCCUUUAAUAAUUUUCCAACUUGCAACUACUAGCCUAAUUUAGUGGUUUUUUUGAUGGCUUUCAAUGCAACCAACUUUGACUUGGCAUUAAUCAACAACAGUGCUGUCAUGGCAUACUCUUGAUUAGAACUGCAGUGAAGUGGAUGACAUACUUAAAUUAUGGUAAUCAAACUAUAGGUAUGCAAAUGACUGUUACCAAGUCUAAAACUUUGGUAUCACUAAAUUAGAACAAGUAUGAACUUACUUGGCCACUAAGUGAUGGAUCUAUCACUGCUCCAAAUAUUAAGUUGGCAGCAGGAUCCACAAGAUCAUAUAUAACCUCAGCUGCAGCAUUGACCUACAGAAAAAAAAAAGAAAAAAAGAUCACAUGUCAAAUGAUGCAUACGAGAAGAGAAAUAAAAUAACUCACUUGUAUUGCUUGACUGAGAGAGUUAGUAGCAAAGGAAUACCUCAAACAAUGUUAGAUCACUUCCACCAGUUAUGUUCCACACGAUUCCAGUGGCUCUUUCUAUACCAAGAUCUAACAAAGGUGACUGGAUUGCAUUUAGUGCAGCAUCUCUUGCCCUUGUUUUUCCUACAAACCAGACAAAGUAACUUGUCAAUAGAAAGGCAAUUUAAAUACAUAAUUACCAACAAAUAAACUAAAGUGUUGCAAUGGGAAGAGAUCACGACCAUAUGACAUGAAAAAUCAUCAAUAAGUACUGCCAAUAAAAGGAAAAAGAAAAGAAAAUGGAUAGUCUACAAUCACUUGUAUUUUGUUACAUGGCGAAAAGAAAAGAGGUAGAAACUUCAUGCAUUCAUGGUCGAAACUUUGGUGCAUUAUCUUCUGAGAAAAAAGAAAGUCCAAUCCGUACCGUCUUUAUCAUUUAUGAAACACAACUCAGAAACAUGUAACAUGAUGGUGGUCCAAGUUCUUUGCAUUAAGGUAUGAAUGAACCAUGCAAUAAGCUUGAGAAACCUUUAUUUUUUUCUCCUAUUUUCACCCUACUUCGACAUUAUAAACGCUAAUGAUCUCUUUGAAUUACCAGUAGCAGUUCCUAUCCCCAUUAGUGAAGAACCUGCAUUUGCCAUUAUAGUUCGCACAUCAGCAAAGUCCACAUUCACUAGCCCUGGAAUCUGCAAUGUGGAGAUUCAAAAGCAAUUAGGGUCCAGAAGUAUGGUUCCAAGCUUCUAAUACUUCAACUUCUGUGCCGUCCAAAGCAGUUCACAUAUGAAUGUUGGAUUGGGAGGUUUGCAUACCGUAAUUAUAUCAGAGAUACCACGAACACCUUGUCGAAGAAUAUCAUCAGCCAGAUUAAAUGCUUCUGUUACUGGAGUAGAUGGGGAAACUGCAGUCAACAACUUGUCGUUUGGAAUAACAAUUAGCGUGUCAACAUUUUCUCUUAGAGCUGCAAUUCCUUCCUGUGCUUGAACAGUCCUUCGUCUUCCUUCAAAAGAAAAAGGGGUAGUGGCAAUACCGACAGUUAAUAUACCCAUGGACUUCGCAAGCCCUGCAAUUACAGGAGCUCCCCCGGUUCCAGUUCCUCCGCCCAUUCCAGCCUGCAAAUGCAUACUAGAAAUCCUAUGUAAAAUGUUAAAGAAAGAUACUAGAAAACAAAUAAAAGCCAAGAUCCCAAGUGUUCAUCCUAACUUUGAACUAAUAUGAAUUUAUCACGACCCCAUGCGUUACAUUACCAGAAGAAACGAUUUUUCCAAUGGAAAAUUAGAGAACAAAUAGUUUUAUGAACUAAUAUGAACCAUCAAAUAUAAGACAGAUCAGACUCUAGGCAACAAUAUGAUCAGAUAUACAACAAAAGUUUUAUGGAUUUUUACCUUAAAUGCUAGCAACACAUAUUGGGUGCCGGUGCUCACCUCAUAAUAACAACUUAAGCUAGGGUAAAAGUACCAUGAAGGCCCCUGUACUAAAAGUCAAAUUGCAUUUUGCUCCCUUUACUCACAAAACGGGCAAAUUAGUUCCAGUAUGUUAAAUCAAAGAGUAAACUACAUUCUGUUAAAAUUUUUAUCCAUUUCUAUAAAUUGUUAAAAACUGGCGUGGCUAAUGGAAUAAACGGAUAGUUAUACGUGACGUGCCACUUGCACCUCAUGCAGACAUAUAGGGACCAAAUUUUAACAGUAAAAGUGGAUGGAAUUUUUAACAAAAGGACCAGUUUGCUCUUUAAUCUAAUGUAUGGCGACUAGUUUGCCUAUUUUUUGAGUAGAGGGGGCAAAAUGCAAUUUGGCUUCUAGUGUAAGGGCUUCCAUGGUACUUUUACCGUUAAGCUAGCUCCCAGAGAAAUAAUAUAUAAUUCUUACACACCUUUACACUAGACUUCGAGGAUAUUCAUUAAUGAUUCAAUUGAUUCAAUGGACUUCAUGAAACAAGAAACCAUGUAUCAGCAGCCAAAUUGUAUUUAUUAUAUGAUUAAUGCAUAUCACUUUAAUUAGGUCGAAAGGAAUAUUUUCUUCAAGGAAUAUCCUUCACUAGUCUCCAUGAGGAGUCCGCUUAAAAGUAAUAAACAGAACAUAAAAUUGUUGCAUAGCAUAUUUUGCUCAAUUUUGCAUACUAUUAUAAACAAAAGCAACAGAAUAGUGACGGUUUAGAUUCAAGACACUCAUGAAAUCAGAUUAGUAACACUAACAGUAAUAAUCCAAACUCUACUCAAAUGAUUAAAACUGUAGAUUGGGAACUUACAGUUACAAAAACCAUAUCAGCACCAUAAAGAGCCUCUUCUAUUGACUCUUUGCUCUCUUUCGCAGCAUUCAUGCCAAUUUCUGGAUUCCCACCAGCACCAAGACCCCUAGUUAGCUCCUGACCGAUUUGCAAACGAUGCUUGGGGAAGACAGGUGACAUUUUCAUAGCUUGAACAUCUGUGUUAACGAUCCAAAAUUCUACACCCUGCAUUUCGCUCUCUAUCAUACGAUUAACAGCAUUUGACCCACCACCACCAACACCGAUAACUUUGAUCUUAGCUUCAUUGUUAUUAUUUGAACUAUUCAUGUCUCCUAAGAACUCGGUGACACUUCCACUAGAACUCUCUUUUCUUGGAUUGGUUAUCAUAUUGUUCCCUUCACCUCUAAGCAUUGGAACUUCAUGAUGUAGGUUUAGAAAACGGUCUUUGUUUUGAUACGGACUGACACUGUGAGAAUUGGUGGAACAUCUAAGAUGAGGCAUGAUAGACCUUAGGCCGGCCCUUGAAAACCCGAUUUUCCCAUCACAGAGCUUAAGGCAGCUAAGUCUGCCUGUAGGAUUUUCCAAUAACACUCUCCCACCAAGAACAUUAAGUACCCCCAUUGGUCUAAUAUCAGAAGCAGUUGCCAUUUUAUAAGGCAGCACUAGGAAUCAAAUUUAUGAUACAAGCCAGAUAAUUUAGAAGCCUAAAUAGCUUAAAUUUCAAGUUUGCAACUCAAUUUUCAUUCAAUACCUGCAUAAAACCCACAAUUAAAUCAAAAUUAUAUUCCCAAACACCUAGUAAAACCCAUUAGCUAAAACACUAUCAGUGUCCAUUUUGCAGAUUGACCUUAAAACUAAAGGUAAUCGCUAAAGGGCUAUAACUUUCUCAAAUGAAGAGCAUAAAAGUGAAGUAUAACAUCAAACAAGUUGCCAAUAUACAUUCAGAAAUUCCACCAUAUGCACACGCACACUACCUAAAAUGCCUCAACUUUGAAGUUCACAGCAAACCAAAUUUACAAUUCAAAGUAAAAGGUUCAAAGAUAAAGUGUACAAACAAGACAAAAUGCAUCAAAAAUUUUAUCUGGGUAUUAAUUAAAAGGAGAAACGAAAGAACCUGAAAGAGAUUCAGAGUGGACUAAACCAGAAACAGCAAAGUUCCCUCAGGGCAUUUGAGUGGCUGAAAAGCCCAAAGAUUGUGGAAAUGGGUGCAAGGUUUUUUCUUUUUUGGAUUUUAGCAAUGCGGUUUCCUUUGCCAGGUUGUUGUUAAAAAAUAAUAUUACAAAUCCCAACAUAAAGAAAAUAUCUUGUGAAGUAAAGAGAAGAAGGCCAGAAUUUGUGAGAAAUAUGAAUAGUGCCCUUAUCGGCCAGGGUUUAAGUGUAGCCCUUAAAAAUGGUUAAACCCUUUUUUGUUUUUGUCUUGAUUGUCACUGGUGGGACUGGGGGCUCGUCACAAACAAAAGUUCUUUUCUUUCUUUGGAUGGAAGAAAUGAAAGAAUAAGACGUUUCAUUUAAGUGGGGAUAAUAGCCCAAGUUUCCAUUUUUCAUUUUCUCACAAUCCAAACAAAGGUCUGAGUUUCCAAUAGUCGACAUCAAAGGCCUCUCUCCCAAGUCCCGACCCACUCUUUGCUUUUUCCAUUUUCACUAGCCUGUUGUAAUAUUAGUUGUGGAUUUCAAGAUCCUUUGUGAUAAGAGAAGAUUCUAGCCCACGAAUUGAUGCUUCCUUACUCAAAUUAACCCCUCAAAAAAAACUUCGAUGAUAUUAAUUCCAUCAAUACCACUUUAUAUGAUUUAAUCAAAUAAAUAAAAUAAAUAAAAUUUAUAUCAUUCAUAAAUCAUCCUUUAUUCGAACUAAUACUUCAAAUAUUUUGAUUCAAUCCAAUUAACCAUAAAGUUUAAAUCAAGAAAAAAAUAUUUAACAUAUUUUUUACUUUUAACUCUUAACUUUACUCGUGGUCAAUUUGUGACUUAAUUCAAUCAACCGAUUUAAUCUUAAUAAAAUAAAUCAUUAAUAAAUUAUAAAAUUUUAAAAAAAAAUCAAUUCAAUCACCAAUUCGUUCUAUCCAACUGCUAUAUUUUAUUUCUAUCCAACUGCUAUAUUUUAUUAUAUUAUAUGAUCUCAAGGUGCUGAAUUCUAAACUUUCUGUAUACUUACAUUCUCAAAAAUUAGGAAUCAAACAUUAUCGAUGAAACAAUUUAUCGCCCCACGAAAAUCUUGGGGCCAAAUUUGAGACUAAGAUGAUAUACAAGCAACGACAUACCUUUCCAUGACUUGUAUGAACACUAAAACCAUAUACAUACAUAUAUAUAUCAUCAGUUUAGACUUCAGAAAUUUGAUUAUUCAUAAAAAUCAUAUUCCCAAAAGAAGACUUUAUAAAUAUCCACCAACUAUCAUGUGUCUAAAGGUGUUUGAUGAUGUUCUUCAGUGUGAGGUUAUGUCAUUGGUUUUGAGAGCUUCCACCAUCAAUGCCUGCAUCAUAUUCCAUGGAUUUUUACAUUUUAUAGCAUAGGCAUUGCAAUUACUGAUCUAAGAUGAUGAGGGAAACAAAUAGAAAAGAGAAGGGUAAAUAUCCAUUUUCGUACCUGAAGAAGGUUUAAAUUGGUACCUAAGGUUUGCUUCAAGGUUCAAUUUAGUACCUAAACUAUGUUGGCCCAAUUAAAUACCUGAACUUUGCUUUAUAGUUCAUAUUGGUCCAAAUAAGACAUUUACAGUCGGUACCAAUUCAAACUAAAAAGCCAAGUUUAGGUACCAAAUUGAACCUUAAAGCCAAGUUUAAGUACCUAAUUGGAACCAAAAAAACCUUAGGAACAUUGAAGCAAAGUUUAGGUACCUAAAUGCAUAUUUACCCAAAAAAGAAAUAAAAGAAUAACUAAAAUACUUGCCUUGAGCAUGCAUCUUCUUUUCUGGCUCAUAAUGGACCACUUAGAUUUCUUCUCAUUACUCUUAGUUUCUCUUUAGCUUUCUGGGCUUUGGUUUGUGUUUUCAUUGACCAUUCCUCAAAGUACUGCAAGGACAAAAAAGAAAAAGAAAAAGAAAAAAAACACCAAAAAUAGGAUGAACAAAGCAAAAAAAUGAAUCUAGUAUGAUGCUUGUAGCCAUCAAUGCUUAUAUUUCCUACUCUUAUGCAUGUUACCCCCAUCAUAAAGUUCUAUAACUUUGCCCUUCUGAUCAUCUUUUUGUAUUCUCUACUUCAUAUGGUGCAUUGUAAAGCACAUGUAAUCAGUUGAAUGAUUUACCUGUUGCUUUCUUUUCCUCUCGAGUUCCACCUGUUGAAAUGUAAGUAAAAUGAGAUUAAGCUGCCAUAUUAUAUAUGAUAAAAGCUACAUCAAGAUCUGAAAUUUUGAUAAAUGCGAAAAGUAAUACGAAUGUCACCAAAGCCUGCUUGAGAUGAGUAUUCUCUUGUUUCAAUUGGUUCAAUUCUGCUUCUAGCUCAACUGUAUAUGCCUGUUAAAUAUAACCAACCUAGUAAGAAUUGAAGUAUUAUGCCUAUAUACUAAUGACCUACACAACAGAAGAUUAUUUCUCUACCAGAAAAUAUAUAUGUAUAAUUGUAUACACAUGCAUAUAUAUGCAUUCACUUCCAGCAAACAGUAGUUGUAGGUAGUACCUGUUUUCUAGCUCUAGACCUUGCAGCUGAUUCCCUAUUCUUAAUCAUCCUGCGUUGCCUUCUCUCGACUACUUUUUCUAUUGGACCAUCAAUGAUUCUUUUCCUUCCUCGUAGUCCACCUAUCUCUAUCCCAAAUUGAGUGGCUGCAUUAUCAACUUGAUUGGUACAUACCCCAUCUGGUGAUACCGGACUUAUUGGUGAUACCACUCCCAUUGCCUGUCCCGGUCCAUAGCCACCAGCUGCACCUACUUUUCCGUUAUAAAAGAUGGCUGUUGACAGUGGGGCAGCAGCUGGCUGGUAGCCGCCACCCCCCUUACCAUCAUUAAGAUAGCCUGAUGAGUCACCAAGGACUCCACUUGGAGGCAUUGUUUGAUAUGUACUCCCACCAAAGCCACCACUGCCACCCAUUCCCAUAAUUGGUCUGGGAACAAAACUCGGACCCACUGCAGGGUUAUUGCUAGCUUGAUGCAACCCGAACUGUUGUUGAUGUUGUGAAUGCGGCGGUACUGCCGGUGGUACGCAUGGUUCCCGAACUACACCUGCCUUAACCAAGAAAUCUUCCAAGGUCAUUUCCCCAAAAGUCGGUUGUCGAGUACUAGUAUUCUCAGCAUUCUGCACAUUGCUCUUGUUACUCUGUCCUUGUCCUUGCUGCACUUUAUGUAUCUCAGACCAAACUUCAUCGACAGUUUUCCGACACAAUGGUGCCGGAAGUGAAAGCGAGCCUUGUCGAGGCAAGCUAGACUGCCUAGCUACACCUUUACUGCUUGCUGUUUCAUUCAAAGAUAAGUUAACAUGAUUGCUAACCUGUUCAUUUACACCAUUGUUGUGAUGAUUGUUAUUAACGGAGUUUGUAGCUUGGUUUUCUUCAGCAUUCCAAAUGCUGGUAAGGAACUCGUCCAUGUUCAUCGACCCAAAGUUCUUCCCACAUAACGUGUGCUGGAACUCAUCGAGAGUGAGGGAAUAAAUUGAGGAUUGUCUUCCAAGGGCCGAUAAUGGAUGAUUCUUUAGCUGCUGGUCCACCUCCUUCAAUGUGGACUCGACCUCGCCAACCUCAGAGUUCUCAACCACCAUUUUUGCGAUGAAAUCUUGCUUUAAACUAUCAAAAACGAGAUUAUAAUCGAUAAAUAAGUAUUCUAGCAGAUUGUUACAGGUGGGGCCAAAGCAUGAUUCUUGAAAAUCAACCCAACAUGUAAGCAAAAACUAAAAUUUAAGGGAAAAAAAAGAUAAGUUCGUCCAGAAGGGUGCAUUAGACUUUCACUUAGAACAGUCAAGUAAAUAAAUUGAAGCACAUAAUGGACAUUAAUGGGAGUUUAAGUUCAGUUAAGUUAAUUUAACAAUGGAGGAAAUAGAAUAAUAAAUAAGAAAAUGAUAAAUUGGGGUAGUGUAUUUUUUUAAUGUAAAAGAUAAAAAGCUUCAAAAGUGGGUGAACAAUAGGAAUCUAUUAGCUUAUCUUGUUUCACUCCACCAUCCUCCAUGAAUUGAAAUAAAAUAUUGUUUUAUCAUGUCAGAAGAUAUUACAAGUGCUUUAUAUUUUCGAUAUUUAUUUAAAAUUUUUAUGUCAAUUUUCUUUUGAUACUAUAUCAAUUGUGAUUAGUUUAAUAUUAACUCACAUGUAGAAAAAAUAAUAAUUAUAAGUAAAUAUAAUUUUAAAACUAGAACAAUAAUGGUACCUACCAAUACAAAUUAUGGUCAUGUUUCCAAAUGUUAUAAUAAAAAGGAGACCUACAGUACAAAGAUACCAUCUAUGGCCUAUCUAGACAACAGCUCAGGCUACAAUUAAAUAAUAAUAAAAAUAUUUAAAAUUAAUUAUAAAAAAUAUAUUAUUUUAUCUAUCUAUAUUAUUAAUUAAAUCUUUAAUUGAGCUAAUUCCACAAAUAAUUCAGACACCAAUUAAGUUAAAAAAAAUAAUUAAGCUAUAUUAGUAAUACUAAAGAUAUAUAAGUAAUUUAAUUUUUUAAAAACUAAAAUUCCUAUUUUUUCUUUCACCUUUCUAUUCAAUUUUUAUCAUUUUUAUUUAAACUAUUCGCAUUUUUUAUUUCUUUAUUGAUAAUUAUUUGCAUUGCUUAAUUUCUUUAAUAAUAAUGAUUUUUAAAAGGUAAUUAUUACUUACCUAAUAAUUUCUAUGAUUUUUAGGCUAUUGUGGUUUUUUCACCUAAUCUUUAAAAAAAAAUUCACCCACAAUAGUUGACCUCAAAUCUAAACAUGAAACCUUUUAAAGAUUCAAGCUGUGACUCCUAACCAUGAAUUCCUUUACACCCAAUUGAUUUCUAAAUUUUUCAUAAUGGUUAAAAGAUAAUAUUCAAUAUUCAAUAUAAAAAUUAUUAAAAUUAUAUUUUAUAUAAAUAUAAAAUAUUUUAAAUAGAAAAAAGAAAAUAUAGCAGGAGCAGAACCAAGAAGAUGAUCUUUAUAUAGUGGAGCAAAGAUAUUGGUGGGCCAAGAGGGGAGCUACAAAGAAUCUUUCCUAUUUUGGAAAAGAUGAUAACAUACAUUGACUAAUCAAAUAUCGCUAAAUUAAAAUUAAAUCCUUUUUUUUCUUCUCAUAAGAUGAUAAAAAAGGGCUAGCUACCUAACAAAAAUACCUACUAUUCUGCAGUUUUUCAUAUUUUUCAUAUUCGAAUUCCGUGACUAUUUUUUAAAAUAAUGUUUUCUUUAAAAUUUAAAGAUGUGUUUGAAUAUGUAUUUUCUUUUAGAUAUGUCUUAUCAUUACAUCGACUUUUGUAAAAGUUGGUGUAAUGAUAAAAUACACGAUUGGGAAAAAAAAUGUUGCAUGAUAUAUAGAUAAUUGAACGACAUAUGGAUCAGGCAAACUGAAUGAUACAUAAAGGAGCUAAAAGGCUUACCCUAAGUUAAAUUAAUGACCAAGUAAUUGAGUUGAUAAAUAAAUAGGGUGAUAGGAGUGUUUGAUGUAUGUAGUGACAAGUGAUUUUUGUUUAUUAUUAAGAUAAAUCUUAUGUUCAUGCCUUCUCUAACCCUUAUCAAAAUAUAAUAUAUAUGCAUGGAAUGGGACAAGCCAUAGAGAGAAUAUAGCUUCAAAACAAGGAUUGCAAGAACACAUAAAGGGAUCCCUAUUAACGCAUUUCUUGAACCAUAAAAGAAGCAAAGAAAGAAACUGAAAAAGCAUGUAUGAACAUACCUGGUUUCAACAAAGGAAAAGAGAUAUGAUUGGAGCUGAAAAAAGAUGAAAAAAUAAGAGGGUUAUUGUGGUUGAAGAAAAUGGUUAGGCAGUGGGGAAUAUAAACAAACACGUAGAGGGUGUAAAAGUGAGUUUAAAGUUUCCCGGCGCAGUGGGGUCCAAAAAAGUCAAUUGGAAUCGACCCAAAGGAAGGGAAAACUUUAUAAAAAUUGGGUAAUUGUGCUGUCUCCCCAGUUCCAAAAUGGUAUCGGCGUUGCUUUGAUCGACACGUUUCGGCCAUGUGGCUUGCUCUGCUUUGCUUUACUGCUCUUAGCUCAACGCGUGUGCUGCUGCUGCUGCCUCUUUUGUUCAUCUUAAGUCGACGGAAAGUGAAACCCUUCUCCGUCAGCAACCUAAACCUCCCAUUUUACUACUUCUUCGCUUGUGUUUAUUGGUAUUAAAAUAUUCCUAUUCUACAUCAAAUACAGGAAGGAAUGCUUUUGAAACAUAGGUUAAAUCCAUCAUAUUAUUAAUUUGAUUAGUCAAUUGGUACAUAUGACUCUAAUCAAAUAAAUUAUAAAAAUUUACAAAAUUAGAAAAAUUAAAAAUUUUAAAAUCGGAUUAAUCAAUUUUUUAACGUGUUUCAUACUAGUCGCAAUCGUUUUUGUCUUUCAUCGGAGUCUGACCAUAUUUUAACUUAUUUCUAAUUCAACCAAUUUGAUUCAAUUAUGAAAACACUGAAAAGAACUGACCAUGAAGCUUAUUAUAAUCCGUGUUGUUUGGAUUGGACCAGUUAAUCUGACUGAUUGAAUCGGGAAUUGACUGAAAAAUUAAUCUAAAAGUGGCUUUAAAAUAAUUAGGCCAAAAAUCUAUAUGAAACCAGAUAAAAACUGAUUCAACCAAUUUUUUUAUAUUAACUAGUAUAAGAAACAUUGAUUAAAAUUGAUUUGAAAUUGCUUAGAAUCGAACUCAAAAUCUCAUCAUAAAUAUGCAGUUAUAAUAUUUGAAAUCAAUAUUUCAAAAACUAAAAAGACUAAAAAUGAUAAAAAAAACUAUUUUUUUUGUUAUGCAUACAAAUAUAUAUAUUUCUUUUUAAUUAUUAUUUGACAAUAAUAUUGUGCCUAUUAAUAUAUUUUACCAAUAACAACAAUAUCAAUUGAGUUAUAUUAAUAUAUUUUAGCUUAUUGUUUAAUGAGUUUUAGCUCGAUUGGAAUGGCAUUGUUGUUAACGCAGGAGGAUAUGAGUUCAAUUACGCUGAAGUGUAUUAUCCUCUUAUUUAUGAAUUGGGGAAAGGUUAUGAAUAGAAGAUUAUUCAAAUAUAUAUAUUAGCCUAUGAGAGUAAGGGUCCGUUUGUUUAUAUGUAAAAUAUUUUCUAUAUUUUCCAUAUAAAAUAGUUUGGUCAACGGAAAAUGACUUACAGGUUAAGAUAAAAUAAACCUUUUUUUCCUGUAGAAUGAUUUAACCUUUUGAAAAGCGUAAGUCAUUUUUCGGAAAAGAGAUCAUCUAUAGACAAUUUUAUUUUUAUAUAAAAAUUAACUUAAAUCAAACUUAAUAUUAUUAUAUUCAUAAUAAAUUUCAUUUUUAUUUUUUAAAUAUUUAAAAUAUUAUAUUUUUCAAUAUUAUUAAACAUACAUAUUUAAUUAUUUAUAUUUAAUCAUAUAAUAAAUUAUUAAUAUAAUUUAUUAAAAUAUUUUAAUUUUAUUUUAAUAAUAAAUUUUAAAAAUAAUAAUUUUAAAUAAUAUUAUUCACAUGAAAAUAUUCAAUAUUAAUAUUUUAAUAAUAAAUAUUUAUUACAAUUAUAAAUAUAUUAAUAAUAAAUAUUUUGUAGUAUAAAGGUUAAAAUAUGUCAUAAGUCUGUGUAUACUUUAACAUAUUUAUAAUUUAGCCUUUGUACUUUUAUUUUCAAGAAUUUAGUCCCUUUACUUUUCAAAUUUAAAAAUCAAGUCCAAUUGUUAACAUCGUUAAUUUUUUUUUGUCAAUUUUGUUGAUAUCACAUUUUUAAAUAAAAAAUAUUCACUUAGUAGUCAUGUAAUUAAAGAAUGACGUUUUAAUGAAUCUGAAUUUAACAUAAUAUUUUUAAUAUAUGAAAAAACAAUGUAAAAUAUAAAAUUAUAGAUAAAAAUAGAUUCAAUUAAACAAUGAAAAAAUUAAGAAAAUCUCAAAUAUAUAUUUGUUUAAUUGAAAACAACUUUUAUGAAAUAUUUUUAAUAAAUCGACUAAAUAAUAGAAAAUAUUUUAUACAGAUUCAUCCAAGAAAAUAUUUAAUAUAUUUAAAAAAAAAAGUUAAAAUGUAUUCAAAUGUGAUACUACAAAGUUAUGGUUAGACAUGUGAGGCACGUGCAUUUUUUUUUUUUUGUGGGACAGUGUGAAAAGUGAAUGAUGAAAAUAUGGGUUUAGAAUUUAAAAGGACGACAGCAUCAUGGGUGGAUUCGUUGGAAUAUGGGAAUGGGAUUGGUAAGGUCGCUGUUUUAGGGGCUGCUUUUGGCUAUUUUUGCAUUCUUCUUAUGAUUUAAGUUUAAUUUUAUUGAAUUUGGGAUAAUAUUUAGAUAAAAUUCUCUUAUUGAUGUGGACUUCAAGAUUUGAAUUUGAUUUAGAUGUUUGAGGAACAAAUUCACUUCCACUUCUUUGAGAACAUAUAAGAUCGAACCACCAUCAAAUGCAUCCUUCAUUUCAAUGUAGUAGUAAGUAUAUUUGAAGCUAUCAACGAAUGUUGCACUGUUUGAUAGCAAUGGUGAGACGCAUUGUGCUCCCAAGAAAACAUAAAUUCGAACCUUAAAAGAUAAUAUUAUUGAGAAGUGUAGUCACGAAUCCUGAAUAUAGACCGUAAAACAAACAUGUUAGAUAUCAAGAUAAAAAGUAUGUUUGAACGAGUCACUGAUUUAGCCUCUUUCUCUGAAUUAGUGUAUUGAUCAAUUCUUUAUUUAAUAGAUCUAGCUAAUCGGUCUAAUUCUAACAACCUUAAGAAAAGGGAAUUUGCAGCUCUUUCAUUUCUUUUUGGCUCAUUUACAAUGAUGAAUGUAUAUAAUUUGCAGUGCUCCUUAUGUAUAUAUUUUGCAGUUCUCCUAUCAGUACAUUCUAGAAUUUAAUAAAAAGUUUUCUAAAGUUUCGACAUUUUCCCGAGAUUUGUUGAUGUUGCUUAAGUGGGAAGAGAGAGAAACAAAAAAGAGGGGAAGAUUAAUAUUUUUUAAAUCAAAUCAGUGGCCGAACUGAUUAGGUCAUUGGUUAGAUUAAAAAUUAUUAAAAUUUAAAAAAAAUUAAAAUCUUGAUUCAACUGAUAUUUUAGCCAAUUCAACUGGCUCAUGAUCUAAUCGGUUCAAAGACACUUUACAAAUGGUCUCUCGGUCGAUUCCCGAUCUAACUGAUCUGAUUCGGUUCAAACAACACUUGAAGACAAGAUUAAGAGAAUAGUGGGAAGUUCACACUAUAUGGUGUCGAAAGUCUUAUUCCUUAAGAUAGUCUCUUCUUACUUUUAAUGAGUGGGAGCUAGUUAUGUAUACUUUUAGACGAUUAUUUUUUUCUUGAUGUUCAUGGGAUGUGUCAGUGACUUUGCUAAAGUGUGUGUUAAUAUAUAUCCCUUGAGUCACGUAUCACUUCAUCGGAUCUCUAAAAUCUUUAUAGUAAUAAGUUAAUCCACCUUACAAGUGACAUAUGAGGUAUGGGGAGAUCUUUACUAUUGAUAAGACAGAGUUACGUGGUGUACAUUAUAGAAGCUAUGAAAACCUUUAGAAAGAGAGAGAUUGCCAAAUUAGUUAUACCGAUAAUCCUUAAGGGUUGUAUUUGUUAAUAUCCCUUAUUGUGAUCUUUGAUUCUAUUAAACAAAAAAGGAUCACUAAUUUUCUUGAAGAGUAACUACAUAAAAUGUAACAUUUUGCUUUAUUCCAAAAUGUGGGAUUAAGGGAAUAAGAUGGAUAAAUUACAAUGACCAUAAAUGAAGGAAAGUAUUGAUGAGAUGCCAUAAUUUUUUUAAGAGUAAAUUAUAUUCAAGGUUAAUCAACUAUUAAUAAGUUUGUGUCUUGGUCACUUAAACUAUUCGAAAAUUUUUAUUUAAAUCAUUGGGAUGUUAAUUUUUUCUUUUUAAAAUCCAAGUAACGAGCUCCAACCAAUGAUUUCAACAAUUCAUAGGGUGGAUCAAUAUCCAUUGAGAAUAGAAGAACCUUAGAUCCAAGUUGGUCUAAUGGUCAGUAUCAGAGAUCAAAGAAGAAAGUUGUUUGGAUUUGAGUUUGUAGAUUCGUGACUUUUAAAAUUGCUUCAUAAAGAAAAAAAGAAUUGUGGAAGAGAAGGAGAAGAAGAGCUUCUGAUUGAUGCAGAUAACAUGAAUAGAGAAGGCCAUACAACGACGAUAUUAACAACCCAUUCACUUAAAUGAAAACUUUUAAAUAGUUCAACGACCAUUUUAUAACUUUUUGAAAUUGAGUGAUUAAAACGUAAACUUACUAAUAAUUUUACCCUUAUUUUAAUCAGCUUUGGGUGAAAAGGCCAAAACUUGUAAGAAAAUAAUUUUAAAAAAUGGCCAAAAUCUAUUGUUUGUAUUGAAGUCCAUAAGUUAACAACAUCUUCUAAUUCAACCAUGUAGAAACUACAAAAGAACCAUCUAGGAACUGACAAACAAUCGCAUACACACCAAUAUUUGGAUAUAAAGCUCCAUAAAUUAGAUCCUUAAAAAUAAAACCCUUCCCUGCAUGAAAUUAUAUAGGUCAACUCAAUCCAUCACCUUGGAACAUGUGGUACAAGCAUUAGAUGAUACCAUAGGAAUUGCAGUGGAAAGAUCAGAUAUAGGUAGCAAGCAAUUAGCAAGUAAAGCAUCGCUAGUUGCAGUGAAAAAAGCUUCCCAAUAAUGUGGUGGAGGGAUACUAUUGACAGCUUCGAUAUUGAUCUCGAAAAGCUCUUCUUCUCCUUCUUCAUCUUCAUUUUUCAUCUUUGUUAUAAUCUGGGUUUCGCUGCUCUUUCCUCCAUGAUCUACAAUUUCAUCUCUGAAACUGAACGAAGCCAUUGAUUUCAGUGUUGAGUUUGUGAAAGUUUGGAGCAUCCAGUUUGCGUUUAAAUAUGUGGAGAUGGGGGGUUUGGGGUUAGUGGGGUUGAGGGAAUAGGUGGUAAGUAGAACGCUCUUCAACAAAUUCACAACAGAGUUUGGUCAAAACAAGCGACAAAAUCAAAAAUCACUUUUCGGACUCUUGACGUUGCUUUUCCCAUGGGUUAAAGUACCAUUUAGUCAAAUUGUAUUUUAUCAUCUUUGAUAAAAAAAAAAGUAAAUUAAUUCUUAUACAUUAAAUCAAAAAGUAAAUUAAUCAUUUCUGUUCAAAUUUUCAUCCAUUCAUACUAUUAAAAAUUGAUCUGACUAAUAGAAUAAUUAGAUAGUAACAUGUGGCAUGCCAUAAGUAAAAAUGCUGACGUACAAGGACCAAUUUAUUUCGUAUAAUGAAAGGAUUUUUUAUAUCUGCUUUACAGUUUACUAAGAUUAAUCAUUUCAAAGUUCAUAGUUACCUUUUCCAAUAAUGCCAUGUUCAGGGCUCAAAUCCGAGUUCUCUCCAAAAGUGUAACGUGACAUACCAUUCUAUCUGCUACCUGUAGAUAUAUUUAAGCUUCCUUUAACAACUACAUUUACCAUGGCAAUUUCUCUUGGGAUAAAUAUCAAUUUGAUAUAUGAACUUUAAUUUGGUACAAUUAUACACAUGAAACUUGAAUCGUGUUUUAUAUUUAUGUAUGACACUUUGAUUUUGAAUUCAAUCAUACAAAUUUAAAGAAAUGAAUACAUACGUUUAUUUUCAUAUUGAAUUAAUAUAAUUAUUUGUGUAUGCAAUCUAUCAACAUAAAACCGUGCCAAUUAGAUAAUAUUGUUAAUAAUUUGUGAAAAAUGAAUUAAAUCAAAAUUUUAUGUAUAGAAUUAUACAAAAUCAAACUUUUUAAUAUUUUUUUUAUUUUUCUUUAAUCUCAUUUUUUAACUAAAAGUAAAUAUUUAAAUUAUUUAACAUAUAAGGUGGAAAAAAUAUUUUUUCCCUAAAAGAAAUUGUAUAAAAGAAAAAAUGUUGUGUCAAUUAAACUUGGGGGUUGGUAUCCUAAUUAACUGUUCUUAGUAUGACAUACAUAUUUUUACAAAUUAGUUUUCCAAUAAGGACGAAAAAGAAAGUAGAGAUUUGUUGUCCCUGUUUUAUUGGAUAAAAUAAACAUUCCAAUACUAAAAAACAAAGGAUGUUGGUCUAAUUACGAACUUUGUAAAGUCAACCUUAAAUCGUAUGAUCUCAUUGUACUAUUUUCCAUGACAAUGGAUAUGUCAUUCUCAAAAGGGUAAAUUAUUAGUAAAUUUUUAUUUUUGUUAUUCAAUUUUAAAAAAUUAUUAAAUAAUUAUUGAAUUAUUUGAAAGUAUUCAUUUAAAUUAAGUUGCUAAAAUGAUUGUUAGAUAGUAUUCUUUGCUUAUACCGUAUGUCAAUCGAAAACUCUCAUUCCUCUUUUCUUUUACAGUCCGAUGUUUUUUAUGAAACAGCUUUUAAUAUUACAAAUCUUCGAACCAAAAUCUAAAUAACUUUCUUUUUUGAUAUUUGAAACUGACUAUUAAACUGAUUUAAACUUGGUAUAUGUGCUUCUACUUAUUGAUAAGUAUUGAUCCAUUAUACCAAUCAUUGUAUUGUUGUUUGGAGUGGGCUAAGAGAUGUUAAAUCCACCACCGCUCCACAGUCGGCAUACUCUAGUUCACAACCCAUUCUGCUACACUAUGAACCUACUCUGCUCCGUUUCAAUUUAUUUUUUACUACUUAUUUUUAUCAUUUCAAUUUUUCAAAUACAAGUAAAUAUUUAAAUAUAAAAUUUUCAAUAAUUUAAACACAAUUCUCUAAAUAAUAUAUUUAAAUAUAAAACAUAUGAAUUUUUCCAUACCACAAUAUUAUAUUUUCUCUUUUAGUAAUUAUAUUUGUACAAGGAUAAAAUGUUCAUAUACUGAAAAAAGAGGAGGCGAAAUAAGCAAUUACCAUAAAUACACUAUAUCUAUCAUAAAUACUCCAUAUCCACUAUAAAAAAGAAAUUUCCACUCACCCCAAUAAAUUAUUUUUAAUUUAAAUUAAUUUUAAUAGAGUUAAUUAAUAAAUUUAAUCAUUACAAAGAUUAUAGUUAUCAUCAAUUAUACUGAUUGCCAAUACUUUUAACUCUUAUUUUUUUUAUUGUUUUAAAAUGAUAAAACUUGUCAAAGUGAAGUGAUGGGUUUGAGAGGUAGAGCCAACUGCUACAACACAAGAUAAUAAAAAAAUUUUAAUCGAAAAAGGGAAAGGAAAUUGAAAGCAACAUUUAAGAAAUCCAAUUGUCUCAACAACCAAACUCAAAAACAGCAUUUCUUUGUUUAGUUCAAUGGUAGUUGUGUUUUUAAGGAAAAUUAAAGGAAUACAAACAAUUAAUAAAAAAUUAUUUUAUUAUUAAAUCUUUUUUAAGACUAGAAUUAGUCCUUCAUGGUCUUAUUGGCCAACUAACAAAAUCAACAAUCAUAUAAUUUUAUACACUUAUCAAUUAAUCAGAUGAUGAUGAAACGUGAUAAAAAAUGUUUUUAGUUCAAUAAAAUCUUGAAAAAGACUUUAGCUUCAGCUUGGGCAUACCCCAUACAUGCUCUAGGACCCUUGGUGCUUAAAAAAUAUUGAAUAUUAAACCUAUAUAUUACCUAUAGUUAAAGGAUGAAAGGGAUUAUGUCCCUUGUGCAAGACUGAAAUAGUAAUACAUAUUUACACAUCCCACCAACAAUAAGAAUGCAGGUAAAAGAAAAGGUAAAUUUGCAGCUUGCAGAUGUAAUCUACGCAUAUAGCAGUUUUGAAGAAAACUAUUAGAACUAGAAGUUAUGCUAUUAAGUUCCAUGCCUACUAUAGAAACCUGCAGUCCUACCUACGCGCUCUUAAAAUUCUAUACUUAAAAGCCUGUAAUAUAUCCAAGACUGAAAACCUGUGAAAGUAUUGUGACGACAUUGUAAAGACCCUUUGAACUAAAAGUUAUGCUUUUCGGGCCAAUGUCUACCAUAGAAACCUGCAUGUCUUGCGUAUGUACUCUAAGAAUUCAAUACUUAAAAGGAGUCAUACAAAGUAAUCAGUAUUCCAAGAUUCAGAACUUAUGAAUGCUUCGUGACAACAUCCCACCUUAGAAACGAGCAAGAUAUAUGAGGUUUAAGGAAGAAAACAGCAACAAUCAAGAGAAUUAGGUUUGUAAAACUAGUUAGAAAAAAGUAGGGACAGCAUAUAUAUACAUACAUAUAUAAAAGACUUUCUUGCAAGUGAAGUUACUAGACUUUCCUGCAAAUAAAAUUUUAUUUUUAACCCUAAACCCUGAAGAAAACUAAUAAUCUUUGCUGUCUAAAAUAAAUCUGUAGGUAACUUAAUCGCAUAAGAAUUAGAGCUUGCUAAAUUUGUAGGGCACUCAAUCACACAAGUCAGAAACAUUAAAAACUGGACUGAUAUGCAAAUCUGUUGGCAACUCAAUCACAUGAGAUGAGCAUUAGAAUUUAUUUUCUUUAACAUCUUACAUGACCUAAACUUCUUUGGCUUCAAUUUGUGAUGAGUUCCCUAAAACUGAACUUAAUUUAUAUUUAGUCUAAUGAUGUAAAUCCAAGCACUAAUGCACAGAGUCUAUAUUAUAAAAUGAUACCUCAAAAACUUCCACAGCAAAAAACUGAUCUAAAUUUAUAUUUAGCCUGUAAAACUGUAAAAAGAGAUAAAAAUCAUCAUUAUUCUCAAGAGAAUCAAGGACCCAAAGUGAAAAACAAUCUUUCCUCAUGCCCAAAGAGAUGUUUUCUCCUUAUUGCCUUAAUAUGCUUUGCCAGGAUGAGUAAAUAGUUUUAUUGAAGAUAAUGGCUAACACCAAUGAUCUCUCAGAACCCAUCUCCAACAACAUAGUACUUGAUAAAACAGAAUGAUCAGAGUAACUUGAUCAUGAAUUAUAUCUAAUAUUGACGCAAAUAGAAAACAAUGAAGAAGGUAAAAUCCUAUUUCAAGCCCUCAAACGAACUUAUCUUCUAUCUUAUGUGGACCCCUGAUUCAGGUACGUGUUUCUACUCAAUAAAAUGAACCAUUGGAUAGCUUGAUGAUGAAUAAAACUAAUAGUCAAGUAAAAAGAUAAUGAAGAAGGAAAAAGCCUAUUUCAAGUCCUCAAACAAGUUUAUCUUCUUCUAUCUUAAGUGGACUCUUGAUUAGGGUACAUGAUUGUACUCAAUAAAACAAAAUCAUCCGACUAGCUUGAUCAUUAAUGAAAUCAAAUAUUCAUGCAAAUAGGUGACGAUGAAGAAGGUAAAAUCCCAUUUCAAGCCCUCAAACAAGUUUAUCUUAUCUUACGUGGACCCAUAAUUCAAGUCCGUGUUUCUACUCAAUAAAACAGAACCAUCCGGAUAGCUUGAUAAUGAAUUAAAUCUAAUAGUCAUGCAGAGAGAUGACAAUGAAAAAGGGAAAAGCCUAUUGCAAGUCCUCAAACAAGUUUAUCUUCUUCUACCUUAAGUGGAUUUGUGAUUAGGGUACAUGUUUGUACUCGAUAAAACGGAACCAUGCAAAUAGCUAGAUCAUGAAUAAAUCAAAUAUUCAUGCAAAUAGGUGAUAAUGAAGAAGGUAAAUUCCCAUUUCACGUCCUCAAACAAGUUUAUCUUCUUCUAUCUUACUCAGGCUCAGGAUUCGGGGAGCUUGAUCAUGAAUUAAAUCCAAAAUUCACGUGAUCGAAUAAUAAUGAAGAAAGUAAAAGCCUAUUUCAAGUCCUCAAACAAGUUUAUAUUUUUCUAUAUUAGUCGGACUUGGGAUUCGGGUUCAUGUCAAACACAAAUAUGCUCAAUAAUUUUUUCUAAAAAAAUUAGGAUACAUUUGAAAGAUCAUAUAGAUACCCAUGUCAAGUGAAAAAGAGCUCAAUACAAACCGAGUAAUAACUUUGAGCUAAAAAGGCAAAUUUCUAUGAAAUUUCAGUUCUGUUCAACAUUGUAGAUAUCAAAAUUCAACCAAAAAAGAGAAAAAAAAAGAAAACCUCUUUAGAAUACAUAGCAAUUAGUAUCCACUAAAAGAACCUAACCCUAGAUACAAGCAAAUUGUACUUCAAUUAAAAUAUAACAAGAAGCGAAAACAAAGUGUAGAUUAAGAAACAAGCGUACGAUAUAAGGCCGCGAUGUUCUUCACCUCCAUCAGCAAGUGCCACCAUUAA